rnacentral:rRNA from 1 species
CCUACGGGAGGCAGCAGUGAGGAAUAUUGGUCAAUGGGCGCUAGCCUGAACCAGCCAAGUAGCGUGAAGGAUGACUGCCCUAUGGGUUGUAAACUUCUUUUAUAUGGGAAUAAAGUGCAGUAUGUAUACUGCUUUGCAUGUACCUUAUGAAUAAGGAUCGGCUAACUCCGUGCCAGCAGCCGCGGUAAUACGGAGGGUCCGAGCGUUAUCCGGAUUUAUUGGGUUUAAAGGGAGCGUAGGCGGGCUGUUAAGUCAGCUGUGAAAGUUUGCGGCUCAACCGUAAAAUUGCAGUUGAUACUGGCAGCCUUGAGUACAGUAGAGGUAGGCGGAAUUCGUGGUGUAGCGGUGAAAUGCUUAGAUAUCACGAAGAACCCCGAUUGCGAAGGCAGCCUGCUGGGCUGUGACUGACGCUGAUGCUCGAAGGUGUGGGUAUCAAACAGGAUUAGAUACCCGGGUAGUC